rnacentral:rRNA from 1 species
AUUGAACGCUGGCGGCAGGCCUAACACAUGCAAGUCGAGCGAGCGGCGGACGGGUGAGUAAUGUCUGGGAAACUGUCUGAUGGAGGGGGAUAACUACAGGAAACGGUAGCUAAUAUCGCAUACCAUCAGAUGUGCCCAGAUGGGAUUAGCUAGUAGGUGGGGUAACGGCUCACCUAGGCGACGAUCCCUAGCUGGUCUGAGAGGAUGACCAGCCACACUGGAACUGAGACACGGUCCAGACUCCUACGGGAGGCAGCAGUGGGGAAUAUUGCGCAAUGGGCGCAAGCCUGAUGCAGCCAUGCCGCGUGUAUGAAGAAGGCCUUCGGGUUGUAAAGUACUUUCAGCGGGGAGGCGUUACCCGCAGAAGAAGCACCGGCUAACUCCGUGCCAGCAGCCGCGGUAAUUC